GAGUUUGAUCCUGGCUCAGGACGAACGCUGGCGGCGUGCUUAAUACAUGCAAGUCAACUUGGCUUCAGAUAGCAAUAUCGAAAGUAGGGUGGCGCACGGGUGCGUAACGCGUAGGUAAUCUGCCCUAAGGCCUGACAUAACCUACCGAAGGUAGGCUAAUAUCAGAUGAUGCAGCGGCACUGCAUAGUGACAGUUGUUAAAUCUUCGGAGCCUGAGGAUGAGCCUGCGUCUGAUUAGGUAGUUGGCGGAGUAAUAGCCCACCAAGCCUACGAUCAGUAGCUGGUCUGAGAGGAUGAUCAGCCACACUGGAACUGAGACACGGUCCAGACUCCUACGGGAGGCAGCAGUAAGGAAUAUUGCUCAAUGGGGGAAACCCUGAAGCAGCAACGCCGCGUGAAGGAUGAAAUACUUUUGUAUGUAAACUUCUGUAAGAUGGGAAAAAUAUUCUCCUCGGAGAAUUGAUUGUACCAUCAGAGUAAGCCCGGCUAAC
rnacentral:rRNA from 1 species